UGCUGGUUUUGUUUUGUUGUAGGCGAAGUUCUUAAUUAUAAUUAUCAAUGUGUUUUUUUUUAAGGACGCAGUGACAUGCAAGGCGAGGGAAAUUGAAGCCAAAACAUGCAGGACGGCCAGGAGUGUGCCAUUUUUUCUAUGACAGGGGGUGGUUCUUCAAUCUUCAGGGAAUCAAGUGGUAGCAUCAGAUACUGACAUGCAUGGAAGCAGUAAACAUUGAUAAGAGUACAAGCAUUGGAGGAGUACUCACCACGUU